GGGAAUGUGGCUUAGUGGUAGAGUGCUUGCCUAGUAUACAUGAAGCCUUGGGUUCGAUUCCUCAGUACCA
rnacentral:tRNA from 1 species